rnacentral:rRNA from 1 species
UACGUAGGGUGCGAGCGUUGUCCGGAAUUAUUGGGCGUAAAGGGCUCGUAGGCGGUCUGUCGCGUCGGGAGUGAAAACUCAGGGCUUAACCCUGAGCCUGCUUCCGAUACGGGCAGACUAGAGGUAUGCAGGGGAGAACGGAAUUCCUGGUGUAGCGGUGAAAUGCGCAGAUAUCAGGAGGAACACCGGUGGCGAAGGCGGUUCUCUGGGCAUUACCUGACGCUGAGGAGCGAAAGUG